UAUAGCCAGAAUGAUCCCCAAUAUUCGAAACGAAUAGGCACUAAAAGAAGAAGAAGAAAAAUUAUUUGAGGUCUACUAUGGUAGAGGAAAGAUUACCUGGUUUGGAGAUAUUAGCCAUACAUCAAGAGCUCGUCAAUUAAAUUGACUUUGUAGAUAUAAAAGAAUUUGCUGCAGUCAAAUCUAGGAAAACACCAAUUUAAUUCAAUUUAAAUUUAAGGUAUCGAUUUCUAGAUUUAACAUAAGCUGUAUUUCAUAAUAUACUAAUGUUUUAUUUGUUUUUUACCAUCAUCAGCAUCAGUACAAAAUUUGAAAAUAAAAAAUUAUAGAAUUAUUUCAUAUUUUCACAAGUGGAUAUACAUCGUAGCAGAAAAAGAAAUGAAUCCCUCCAAUUGGCUGUAUACCACAAUAAAAAUUACUCAAGAAGUAAAAAAUCUUCCUUUGUAGAUUGCAUAUAAUUUUAUUAAAAAAAUAAUUACACUUCUUAAGGGGGUAUUAGUACGCUAUAGUUAAAACGUGUGAGAGUUAAACGAACUAACGUUUAACAAUUCUUUGAGUAGAUGGCAGCACCUGCGUCAUAUUUUAUUAUUUUAUUAUUCACGAAAUUUUAUUCUCUAAAACCGACAUUGAUGCCAAGUUUUCGAACUUACAAUCGGUUAAGUUCGCUCUGGAUCGGCAGUCUUCUGGGUAGGGGGUAUUAGAUGAAGUUUUACAAAUUCUAAUUUUUGAAAAUUUCGAAUAUUCAGAUUAGAUCAUUCGAUAUAAUUUUUGUAUCGGUUUACGUGCUGUUGUUUUUUGCCUCUCUUGCUGUUUUAACUUUGAGUUGUGUUAAUUUUGAGUGUUUUUUUUAGUUUUAUAAACAUUUUAAAUAGUUAUAUAGUUUUAGUUUUAUAAACAUUUUAAUUAGUUGUAGUUUUAGUUUUAUAAACGUUUUAAUAUAAAGUUAUCAUUUAGAAGAAUACAGACAGGUGUGAACAAAAUGCCCAGAUUGAAGUCAUUUAAUAAAAAAUCUACGAAACGUAGUCACACAUUGACUAAAUACCAGAAAAAUAAAAAA
rnacentral:lncRNA from 1 species